ensembl:misc_RNA Y_RNA Y RNA
GGCUGGUCCUAAGGUAGUGAAUUAUCUCAAUUGAUUGUUCAUAGUCAGUACAGAUUGAACUCCUUGUUCUACUCUUUCCUGCCUUCUCACUACUGCACUUGAUUAGUAUAAA